GACGAACGCUGGCGGCGUGCCUAAUACAUGCAAGUCGAACGAGAGCGACCGGUGCUAGCACUGGUCAAUCUAGUGGCGAACGGGUGAGUAACACGUGGGUAACCUGCCCAUCAGAGGGGGAUAACAUCCGGAAACGGAUGCUAAAACCGCAUAGGUCUUCGAGCCGCAUGGCUUGAAGAGGAAAAGAGGCGCAAGCUUCUGCUGAUGGAUGGACCCGCGGUGCAUUAGCUAGUUGGUGAGGUAACGGCUCACCAAGGCCGUGAUGCAUAGCCGACCUGAGGGGGUGAUCGGCCACAUUGGGACUGAGACACGGCCCAAACUCCUACGGGAGGCAGCAGUAGGGAAUCUUCCGCAAUGGACGCAAGUCUGACGGAGCAACGCCGCGUGAGUGAAGAAGGUGUUCGGAUCGUAAAACUCUGUUGUUAGAGAAGAACAAGUGCUAGAGUAACUGUUAGCGCCUUGACGGUAUCUAACCAGAAAGCCACGGCUAACUACGUG
rnacentral:rRNA from 1 species